CGGCUUCCGGUGCUGCGGUGACUUACCGCCGGAAGGCGAGAGUCCGCGGGAAAAGCGGUCUUGUUAGGUGGUCACUGUGGCUUGGGGCUGAGGCGGUCCCCUCAAGAGUAACCGCGGGCCUGUGCCACGGUCACGCCACUGGCCUUCGUUUCCUUUAGCCUUCUCGCUCACCAAAAGAUUUUCCCGUCCAGUUAUAAAGUGCAAGUUGUUUGCCAAAGGGAUUACUCUUUGGAUUAACACCUGUAGGAAAUGAGCUGCACUGCAUCCCAGCGAAGACCUCAGCCAACCCCACAGCUGAGAUGGAGCAGUAGCAACCAGAUGUACCUUUCCCAGCUGAAACAACUAAAAAGACAAAAUAGAUCAAAGAAUGGUUCUUGAGACACCGGACAUCACACAGUGAAGAACAGCGAUCCCCGGGAGAGGAGAAACAAGAUGCAGUACUCCUGGGAGCUGUGGUUCAGUCGGUGGUGGUAACUGGGGCAUGCCUGGCUGCCUUGAAUGAUUAAGAGCAUAUCUUCCUACCUGGAGUCCACUGUCAAGAGUAUGACACUAACCAGGUUGCUUUCCUGCCUCCUCCACACUGGAGCUCCCGUCUCGAUCUGGAACAGCCGCUGGGAGGAACAUGCUGCUGGGCAUCACCAUCUCAGGGGUGGUCACCUGAAGAGCAAGCGGCAGAGACAUGAGGCAAGUCAAAAGGAGAGGAAAGAGACCCAAAUAGGAAAAUGUGUAGAAAUUAUUUAAUAAGCAAAAUUAGCCUUCACCAGUGUUAAGGCUGGAGGUGUCACUUUCCAUAGCUCACUGAAGAUUCAUGUUUAUUAGACAAAGCUCACAUCAGUCAAAAGUGUUUCUACGGUUACAUUCUGGACAUAAUUAGCAGUGCACACUUGAAGAAUAAUCUUAUUAUUAAUAUUUUUCCUUUAUGCAGAAUUUUGACUUUGAUCACUGACAAUGUUUUGUCAUGGGCUGUGAAACUUCUUGUGCAACCAAUUAGGUAGAUAAGUUGAAAGGCCCACCUUAAGCUGCUGAAAACAUAAUAAGGGCCCUAAUUAAAUCAUACCUAGUAAAGUACACUGUAAUCUUGAAGCAGGGAGCAUUGUAGUACUAUUUUCAAAAUGUAUUCAGGCAAGAAGAGGAGGGGAAUGAGCGAGAGAAAGGGUAAGAAGAAGAGAGGAGAACAAAGGGAAGGCUAAGGACAUGCAGACACACUGGCAGAUUUUCUAGGAAACAACAUUGUGUAACCCUUUAUAAACUGAGAUCAAGUGCAAAUGAGCAUUUCUUAUGACUGACUUCAGUCAGGAUUUCUCCCAGGGUCUCUGCCUGAGGUACACAGCAUCGGAGGGAACUUCCACCUGUGUGGUAGCCCAGAGGGUGUCCUGCAUCCUACAACAGGGCAGCCCCACCUUGGCCAUGGCUAUUGCUGCCCAAUAUAGCAACCUGGGUCAAAAGAGCUACAAUUUAAGGUCAGAUUUUAGGGAUUUAUUUCUCCAGGCUGUCCUGCCAUCUGGCCAGAAACUUGUCCAAACACAUUAUCAUUUGCCUUCCAUUAAUAUGAUAAGAAGUCCUCAGUAUGCAACAUAAGGCUUAAAAGCCUCCUCAUUUAAAAAGAAGCAGCGCCCCUUUGCCUGCUACAGGACAGCAAGGUAGUUGAGGAUAUGCCCAGAUGAAUCAGAAAUCGUCCCGUUUGAAUGCAGCCUGAGACAUAAACUGACCCCGAGGUAACAGGAACAGAAACGUACAGUCACCACUAGCCUUUCUAUGAGGCACCCAGCCCACGUGGAGACAUUGUUUCCUCAUCAAACAUACCACUGAGAUAGUAUCUUCUCUUGCUGUUGCAAAGACUGGAACAUCUAGAUUACUGUUCAAAAUUAAAUAUUUAAAAUAAAUUUUACUAUUCUUAAUGGUUUGAGGAUUCUGGCCUUGUUCAAAAUCACUGCCCAUGCAUUCACUAGAAUCAUCAGUGGUAGGUUCCACCUCAAGGGGAAACUCGGGACAGCUGUCCCCAUAAAUACCAAAAAGGUAACUCCCCCUUACGUUUCAGGGUGUUAGGAUAAUCUCAGCAACCCAGAUGCCCAAAGGUGCAGAAAUUAAGCAACAGGCACUGUGGAGAAGGACUCUGAGGAGCCCUGUGUUUAUGAACAGCAGGUGCAUGGUAGGUGCACGUGAGUGACACAGAACCCCUCUUGCACAGACAUUGCACCCUCACACAAAGCUUGCCAGCAGCUGGUUAAGGCUAGCUGUUGAUGAAUCGUUAGGAAUGGAGCAGAGAUUGCCAAACUCAUUCCAUCUAUUUUCUUUUUAAUAGAAAGCAUGUCUGACCAGUGUGGUUGGGGAGUCCAGCGGGAAUCCAAGAAGUGAAAGGUCACCGAUUAAUUUAUAGUCCUCAACCGAGGGGGAGCACGAGGUUGGGGGCAAGAUGGGGAGAAAGGGAAAGGAAAAAAAGACUCCCCACCACCACCUUUCUCAGUUGUAGCUGCAGGAUCAGUCCUUUCCUGGGAUCUUUAGGAAUUAUGAAAAAUGAAUCAUGAGAAAUAAAAAAAAGCCCUACAGAGUAAAAAAGAAUAAAAUUAUCUAACACCUCAGCUGCACAUCAUUAUAGAAAACUGUGGGCUCUUUAUACGCAUUACAGUAAGGCAGACAUCCCCUCUAACAGACUCAGUACGACGGAUCAGUAAUUGUUUUCAUACACUUUAAUUAGAAAAACUCAGAUGGCUAUGAAUAAUAAUGGAAAAGAGAGACUUUUGCACUUGAAAGGUUGAAGUCAAUCAAGUGUGAAUGACGGCAAAAAAGAAAAAAAAAAAAAAAGACACCAAUUCAUCAGCCCUCUGUUGUCUCGCCGCGACUUUAAUCAUAAUUCCUGAUUGGGAUUCAAGAAGGCAGUAAGCAGCGGUUCUUUGUCUGCCUUCACCUUCCAUCAAUUAACUCUCCCCGAAAUAUAAUCAUCAACCUCACAUGCUCCUCUGCAUCUUAAUCUGGGCCUCCAAACCUGUAAGUCUUGCCCCAUAUAUGUUUAAGUAAUUACUUUUAUCUACCUGCAUCUUCUCAUCUAUAGUGUACCCAACCUCUCCCUGAAAGCAAACAAACGAAAAAGAUUCAGCAUAUAAAAUCUUAAUGGACAAGAAGUUCCCAGGAGACUUGAGAGGAAGACUCCUGAAGGGAAUCCUGAGGAUCUAGAAAUUCUGACGGGGUCUAUCUGCCCAUGUGUCUGAACAGAGAGAUUGCAAUGGAAGCCGCUUUGCUAUGCAGGACACUGACGGACCCCAUGUCAGCUCUUGGAUGUUAAAUGUUCCUGUGUCUGUGUCCACUCCUCUUUCUCCUACCAGCUUCUCAACCCUGUCACUCACAGUUUCCACACUUUUUUGGUCAACAGCCAGAAGUACGGUCCUGCCAAUGCCUCACUGAGGCGCUGUGCUUACAGAAGAUGAUGUAAGUUGGCCAUGGCAGAGUUCCUUCAGCACCCCUUGUUUCCCAAUCAGAUCUGGCGGCCAUGCAGCCAGGCUGGAGGUCCCUGGGAAAGACGGUCACUCACCAGCGCCAAGCACAGUUCUGUAAAGGCCUUCCUUUCACAAGGAGCAUCAGAGCACACUGGCAGGCGAAGGGACAAAACCUGCCCACAGUAUAACCAGCCUCCACCCACCCUCACCAAACGUGUCCAAGCCGCAGACCCCCCCAAGCACUGGAUGCCACCAUUACACACUCAGCCCCAGCACCCCCAACCACAGACUCAAAUGCCGAACAAAGAGAUUAAGGUUUGGCCAGACCACACUCAGUCCAAACACCUACUCGUCCCACAUCAACAUCCAUGUAGACUGAUUCUUCCAGUAACCUUACACCCAUCCACAAUGAGUAUGUUAAAUUACAUUCUCCCAUACUUGACACUAAUGUAUAAAUGGGACUUAAGACUAUGAAAACAGACGUUUGACUGAAAGUCCAAGUUUUUGAGGUAAGAAAGUUCAAUCUGUUAGAGCCAUGACUUCCUCAGAAUUUGAGUCUCUCUUGAUUGGUGGCCGUCUGGAUAGCACACGCCUUCUUCCUGCCUCUCUGAGCCAAGUCAGGUAUGCAGAGUUGAUGGGAACACAGGAACAAAGUAUCAUCUGAGCAGCGAUAGAACCUUCCAAACAGGUAAACAGUCUCACAUAGAGUGAGAAAUGGGGAGUUCUGUGCUGAUGCUGGAAAUCUUCAAGUUUCAGCAAUUUUCAUAUAUGACAAUAGAAGUAGAAGCAUUCUACUUCUUCACGUGAAGAAAAAUCUUCAUGCUUAAGCAAUUCCAAAACAACUCAGUUGAUGAGAAGGGAGGGCCUCAAGUGAUUCUGCUUGUCCAUUCAUUUGACCAUCAUUCACUAAACUUUGUACAAGGUCCCUAUGCCACUUGCUUGUGAGACAGAGCGAGACCAGGUCCCUGGGCCCAAGAAGCUCACAUCCAGAAUAAUUAACCUUUUAGAUAUCAUAAACUCAUUAGGAAAUCUGAUGAAAGUGGCAGGCUCCUAGAAAAAAUACUUUCAAACAGACUAUUGCAGAUAAUUUCAGGAAAUCACAGGCUCCCUAGAGAGAAAUUCCUGGACUCAAGUUAAUUGCCCUUGAACUACUAGGAAAGGUGAUAUGGCUUUGUAAAUACCUCCUGUUCGGUUCACCAUUAUUUAGGAUUAUGAUUUAAUGCCUUUCAAGUUUCUAUGACAUGAGUGGGCCUGAAAGCCUCAAGGACUCAUUUUAUAAAAGCCAGAGUCUUAGAUGUGGGCCUGGUCCCCACUGUGACAUGCAGGAGGGGCCGCUGAUGUUUACUCUUUCUCAGUGGAAGAAGCUGGAUUAUAAGGAGCCGCCACACUCUUUGCUUUCUUUGGGUCAUGGACGUGAAAUGGCCAAAUACAACACCUUGAGCAACCAAGGGGUAUAUAAAUUUUGCUAAAUUCUUAACGGGACUGUUCAUGCAAAUUCAUCCCUCAAGGCCACCCUGAGGUUAGAUCAAUGCAACCAACCAAGUUCCACAUGCUGGCAAGCAAAGGUAUCUUCUCAGACCCAAGUACUGCACCUCACUUCUCUGAGACUUUCAUCCCCACAGCCUUGGCAGUGCUCACCUGAGUAGAGUUGCUUUCUGAAAGGCUCCCUAUUCCAAGUGAAAGGACAGGUUUGCCAAAAUCUAGACUCCCAAAGAGACUGAAAUCCUUCAUAUUUCAGUAAAAAAUAAACAGACUGAAGAGCCUCAGAUGAAGGGAAAGAAAGAGGAAAUGAUGACAGAGGGAAAGACAGGACCUCAGACACAGGCCUUCCCAACAGAGACCUGGCUAGUCUGUACACCUGGUGAAUGAGGUAUUGGUCCUAUUCUUUAAAAGCCAACGAUUCCAGACCUUAGCAUUCUAGCUAGUGGGGGAUCUAGAGUUGAUGGUGCCAGUGAGGGUCUAGCUGCUCACGUUCUCCUCUGACCUCAAUGGCUGCCAGGAUGCAGGAGCUGUCUGCACGCCUGCAGCCAGCAAGCCAGGCACUGCUUAGCAGCAAAGCCUCAGAGUUUUGUUUUGUGUGUGUGUGUGUGUUUUUUUUUUUUUCCUACUACCUUCCAGUUGUGCUAGGUUGGGCGCUGGACCCUGGUGUCAAGAAGGCCAUGUCUCUGUCUCGUUUCCCUUCUAAAAUGUCAUCUAUGUGGCUGUCUUUUUUUUUAAUCUAAAACCCAUGAGGAAAAAUUAUAGAGCAAUAUUAACAUUCAUAUGGGCCAAAAACAAAUGUAGCCCUGAACCAGAUUUUAAAAAUCUAAGAAUCAGAAAGACUGAAAAAAGGAGAUAGGUAGGAGAACAGGAAACACAUGAACAGUUGUCUCUCUCUCUCUCUCACACACAGACACACACACACAGCAGAAGAGAGAGAGAAGAGAGCUGAGAAGGAGACUGAAUUGGAGAGAAAAGCUUCAUUAGACUCAGAGAGGCAAGCAGUGGCAGUAUACCAAGGUCACUUCUAAUUUAGACCAUCUAAUUGGCAAACAGGCUCCAAAUGGCUAUCAUCUCACAGGACUUGGAAUUAAUGAAGCCCGAUUAUUUUCAUUACCUUCCUCUGAGAUGGAGACAAAGUGAGAGCUGGUACCCAAGUGGGUGCCACAGCCUCAGGGCCAGUGGCCACCCGAGAGCCCUGAUGCAGGGGGGCCAAGCGGCCAGCCUGGUCUAGAGACUCAGAUGUAUGGGCACACGGGGAGCACAGAGAGAGAUGCUGACCGAAAACAUCACAGGAGUCAGACAGCUGUGGGGUGGGGUGAGGCGUGGGGGGUGGGAGCUGUGGAAUUGCAGGCAGCGUGGGUCCAGGAGCUGUGAAGGGGAAUCAGUGCAUGUACAAAACAUACAGGAUAAUUAAGAACUACUAAAGGGAACAAAGACGAAGGGCUAGAGAAAAAGGUGUUCCUGGCUGCUCCAGACUCAGCCCCAUUCUCCGCCAUGAGGUCACACUUUGCUAAGUGAUGGAGGAACAAAGACAGUUUCCCUGUGUUAAUGCUCUGCAAUCCCAGUGGUGUGUCCUGCCACUUAGAAGAACAGUGAUUAGUUAGAAUAAUUCAGGACCACUGAAAAUUAUUGUAGGUGGUCUUUCCUAUUCUCAUUUAGGGGCUAGAAACCUGACCCCCUUGCCCUCAACCCUCCUCCCCUAGAAAAGUGAGCAAAAAGAGGUGGCACAAGCAGUGACCCCUAUACCCCCAUCACUGACUCAGACUCUCGAACUUCCCUGUCACUAGAUGAGAGUGCUAUAUGACUGGCGUUGGGGACCAGCCGCUCAGUGGGGCCUGGAGGGGCACUUGUCUCACUGCCUUAAGCUUUAUACAUUUCCUUCUUUCUUACCAUGUGUGUAAAGACAACCUUUGGAGCUCUGUUUCCCACAGGCCCAGCAGAAUGAACUGCUGUGGGUGCAGUUUCCAUAGCAGAGGGCCAGAGCUGCAAUUGUUCCCAGUGGAGAAUAUUUUUCAAGCCCCUUCAUCGGUAAAAAGAAGGGGGCCCAUGGAGGACACAGAUAUGAGAUGCAGAGCAUAAGCAAGCAGCUGUUACCAUAGCAACAGACAUAUUAGACACUGCAGGUUCCUGAAAGCUGUCUGAUAAGGUAUUAUUAAAUGAAGCCUCCUCAAAACACUCUCCAUUUACAACUGAACGGAAAGACAUUGUAUAGAAAGUAAUCUAUUUCCAUUUAUCAAGGUGGAAUUUACUUUUAGAGAGACUGAAACCCAAUUCAAGCCAGAUCCUGAGACCUUGGGCCCAGACAGCAAAAAAUAUUUACCAGAAUUUACAGCUUCAGAUACCAUGGACACACCCCACAUCUGCCAGGAGGUGUCUGUUUGGUAGAUUUUGCCAGGUUUUCCUAGUCUGAACCAAAGGCAGUGCAUUCAGUCAAACCAUCUGGCAAGGAAGAAGAUUCACUCCUCUCACUGCCAUUCAUCCGGGCCACUCAAAGAUAAAGCAGACGUAACUUUCUCCUCUGGGAGGAUGAAUGACUGGACAUUGACCAUUCCUUAAUGAUACAGUUUAGAAAAUGGAGCUCUGAUUUGAGGGGUAUAUCUCAUCAUGCUGUUUUCAGAGUUUCCUGCUCUAGAUGGCCAGGAACAAACAGAUACACCAUCAAAAAGUCUAACCAAUACUUCCUCUUGGACAGUUUUCUAAUAAAAUUGCCAUAAAAAUAGCCUCCAGGGGCAUGAUUUUAACCACAGGUUCAUUAUAAACAGUUGUAAAACAAUUUCAAAAUUUCAUUUUAACACCAUACUUUUCAGAGGGAGGACAGUGGCAGCUACUUAAUUGUUAGGGUCAAGACCAAGAUGAGCAGUCCAGCCCUCAAAUAGGGUGCCUGGGUUCACCCCAAAGUAUGGCCACAAACUCCCCUCCAACCUUGGCUACUUGUCUUUUUCUUGCUGAUCCUGCUAAAGGAUGGAGAUGGAACUGCUUUCUUUAGCUUGACACAACACAUCCUCAUGACUUAAGAAACCAGUUCAAUACCAACAGCCAUGCAGUGACUCCAUCUUCAUGCAAAGAGAGGGCAUCAAACUGACCUUACAGACACCUUUAGUCAAAUGUAAAACCCUUACAUGAUUACAGUUCCCACAACUUUCAACUUUAUUUCUGAAUCCAUUAACUGUCUCCCGUUGCUAGCAAAUGAACUUCCUUACAGUCAGCACAUUUCCCACAAUUUGCACACUUUUUCAGAAAUGUCUAGAAAACACCUCCAUUGUGUGCUGUGGGAAAAUGAGGUAGGUUUACAGGGGUUUCUGAACAGGUGCCAAGCACAGCCCCUUUAGGGAGCGCAUUUCUCCUACACAAUUAUGUUCUUGGGGAGUCUUCUCAAACAGGGAUUAUUAACCUGGCUCCAUGGGUGAACUGUGGGUAUCCUUAUGCUCCCUGGCAUUAUACACACAAUUUUGUACAUGUAGGGAUGUACCUGGUGGUCCCAUGGCCAAGUCUUAUUGCUCCCGAUGCAGGGGGCCUGGGUUUGAUCCCUGGUCAGGGAACUAGAUCCCACAAGCCACAAAUAAGAGUUUGCAUGUCGCGACUAAAGAUCGCACAUGCUACUCUGAAGACUGAAGAUCCUCCUGCAGCUAAGACCCAGUGCAGCCAAGUACAUUUUUUUUUUUUUUUUUGUACAUGCAGAAUACUUGAAAGAGUUCUUAAUAACGGAUGUCAAACUAGCAUGCAUAGAAUACCCAGUAAGGCUACUGAAUCAUAUUCACCAGUCUCCCCCAAAAAGGAUUUGAGAAUCACUGCUUGAGUAACACCUCCUAAAUUCUUAGGAAUUUAGUACCCAAGCAAACACAGCAGUAACAUCCUGUUGUUAAAUGAAGACUCAAAUGACCACCAGACUUGCUACCUUGUACCACACUGUUGCUGUUAUAAAAGAAUUAAUAUGACAAACAAUGGCUAUUUGAGAUAAAAUUUAUAUACUGGCCCUUAAGAAUAUAUAAAUGAAACACUGUCUAAUGUAAACCAAUCAUACAGAUUACUACAGGCUCAUAUUUCCUAGACCAAUGUGAUCUCAAACAGGAAAAAUAAUCACCAGAGCCAAAGAACAAUGUAUUGAAAAUGCCUCCCUCCUCACAUCUCUUCCUGCUUCUUUAGGCUCCCACGGUUCCAGGUCAGCUGUGGGAAGUCCUGGGUUGGCCAAAAAGUCCAUUCAGCUAGGAAAUAUGUUGUUCAUUAGUUUUUGGUGAAAAUGGGAAAAUGUGUAUUUUAUUUUUACUUAGACCCAAAUGAACUUUUUGGCCAACCCAGUAUGACAGCCUGAGGAAAAUCCCAAGGCUGGAGAGAAUUCCCAGGAAACUUGUAACAUAGAAACCCACCAUCCACAAAAGUAAGUUUCCACUUACAGAGACCCUUUCAACAUGUUCACCAAUCUAUUUGAAAAUAGCCAUGGGAAGUUGCACUUGCAGCACAGAGGCCACCAUAGUUUCUCACUGGCUGCUCAAGUUCCCAUGACACAGCACCGAACGCAUACUCCUCAUGACGGAACAUCACUUAGGACAUACAUUAGUAUCACCUGCAGAAUUUUGAAAAGUUUUCACGUUAUAUUUAAAUCUUUGUACUAAUCUUUUGCACCAUGUUUACAGUGGCCACUUAGAGACAUGCCCUGCAAGUAUAGCAACUUCAUGUUCAAAAUGCAAAGCCCUUGUUCAUGAUUCAACACGUGCUACCCAAAUGAGCAUCUUCCUGCCUUGAGAACGAAAGCAUCCACCCGAGGGACUCCCCUGUCACGGGGCUGCAUUCCUAGAGUGGGAGAAUCUGGGGUCAAAUCUCAACUUUGCCACCUAAAAGUGGCAUCACAGCAAUUAACUUCUCUGAGCCUCAGUUUCUUCAGCCAUAAUGUAAACAUGUCAAGCCUUUUUUUAAACAGAGUGGCUGUGAGGAUGAAAUGAAACAUAAUGAAUCUAAGAACAACCUAGAAUAUGACUUGCUCAGUAAAGGCCUGGAGAACCUGAAUGACAACUUGCAGUUAACUCACCCCCAGGCCUCUGCAUCUGGAGGGGAGAGGAUGAUGAGGGAUGCUGAGAAACACAGAGCCCUUUGGGUCACCGUCAUGCCAAGACUAAGGUUGACAGUGGUCACAGGACCAUCUUUGACCUUUCCAACUCUGUCCUGCCUCUGGCGUCCAGCAGCACAGCCUCCUGCCCAUAUCACAGUGCCACCCUUGACCCCUGGGGAGAGAAGAGCCCUGAGGAGCUGCUCCCGGCCGCCUUACCGUCAUGAUGAGCUUCUCCACACAGUCGGGUGCCACGCUGUGUAGGUGGGUGAGGUGCAGCUGGAGGUGGAUCUUGUUGUUGAGCAUGUCCUGGCAGAGGGGGCAGCGGAGCAUGGGCUGCACCGAGUGCUGCGUCAUGGCGUGCACGCGCAGCCGGUUGACGUCGGCAUUGCUGUACUUGCAGUAGGGACACUGGUACAUCUGUGGGGGACACAGCCACCCCGCCGGUUGACUCUUCAGUUCCCGUGGCAACAGUGUCUGUCCCAUGCCCGCCCACCCAAGACUUCACUCCCCAUCCCACUCCCCCCAGGUAACUGAAAUACUCUCCCACAGCACAGCCCCUCUGGGCCUCACCUGCUCCGGCUUGGUCUCCUCUGAUGUUUUUGGUCGCUUUGAAGAAAGAGGGGACUCCGAGCUACCUGGGAAGGAGAUGCGUUUGGAGGUUGCGGGAGAAUCUGUCAGCUCCUUCUCUGCUUGGCUUGAUGAUGCUGGAAGGAAAAACAGAAGAUGUAAUCCAGCAGCCAGGCCAGGCCAGCUCCCAGAGGAUGCGUGCUGGGUGAGAGUCAACAUUCAUUCAUAGCUCAGGGUGUUUGUGAAACACCCAAGUUAAAGGAGGAUGAGCAUCUGGAUGGGUUUAUCGGGCACGGUGGGAAAGAAGCAGGCAUUGCUUUCUGUUGCCAUGAAUUUCUGUCACUACACAAAUUUAACAACUGAACACCAAGGAAAAAAGGUGAAGAAAUGGACUAAAAAGCUCUGAGUUGGAUAAACCUACAUUCAGUCUGUUCUGACCCCCCUCCCCGCUGAUCAAGACACAACCUGUUGGCUAAUGAGGGUGGCUGGGGAAGUCUCACCAACUGCUCUGCCAAACACGAGUCAACCCAAGAACCAGACAGACUUUCAUAGAUGUAAUCAAUGGUAUGCACCCAACUUUAUUGUCACAGCUCUUGAAAUCAAAGGAGACCUGAUCAAUGUGAACCAAAGCUUGAUUUUUUGCAUGUAUCUGUUCACAUGCAAAAAAUCAAGCUUUGGUUCAGCAACUUGCUUUUGGCGGGGAGACGUAACUUAAGAGUGGAACUAGGCAGGGCGUAAAUCCAACUUAUAAACAAGCCAAUGCUCCAGACACAAGAGUUUACUCAGAGUGGGUGGUUCAGAGAGAGAGAGUUUCCUAUCUGCUUGCUUAGACCAUGCCCUCUCACCCCCAUGUCACCAAAAAGACAAAAUACUGACGAGGGAGGAGGGCGACCUGAGGCUUAAGCAGCAAACAGUGGGCACAGAGCAGCGGCGGAAGGAGUUCUCUGAGUCACGGAAAGAGACAUGCAAGAUCUGGAUGAGAAAACAGUUGGGCUAACAAGGUUUAACCAGGAUAAAUAAGCAGAACUCCUUUGGCAUAAACACAAAUCCUCAAGUGGUCAGAUCUGGUUAUUCCGAAACCUGGUCAGUAGCUUAAGGCUGGCCCUCUCACUUGUUUUGGAUGGAGAACUCCAUUUUUUAGAAUCUCAUUACAAGAGGCAAGAAGAAAAAUCCUAAAAAUGGUAGCGAGACAAGACAUACCCACUGUGUGCUGCCCUCACUGAAAAAUCAUUUGACUCCAUGUAGAGGUCAUUGGUAUGGAAAGCCUCAUUUCUACUCUUCGGUCACACUGCUUUCUGUCUCAUCCAGUCUAGUUACCCAGCACGUGUUUCCAGCUUUGAGAUUUGUUCUGAUGUGGAUACACAAGAUGCUGUCAUUACAGAUGUGUGCUUUAAUAAACAGUUGUAAAAAAUCAA